AUACGUAGGGGGCGAGCGUUGUCCGGAAUGAUUGGGCGUAAAGGGCGCGUAGGCGGCCUGUUAAGUCUGGAGUGAAAGUCCUGUUUUCAAGAUGGGAAUUGCUUUGGAUACUGAUGGGCUUGAGUGCAGGAGAGGUUAUCGGAAUUCCCGGUGUAGCGGUGAAAUGCGUAGAGAUCGGGAGGAGCACCAGUGGCGAAGGCGGGUAACUGGACUGCAACUGACGCUGAGGCGCGAAAGUGUGGGGAGCAAACAGGAUUAGAUACCCUGGUAGUCCACACUGUAAACGAUGAAUGCUAGGUGUAAGAGGUAUCGACCCCUUUUGUGCCGGAGUUAACACAAUAAGCAUUCCGCCUGGGGAGUACGGCCGCAAGGUUGAAACUCAAAGGAAUUGGCGGGG
rnacentral:rRNA from 1 species